GAUGAACGCUAGCUACAGGCUUAACACAUGCAAGUCGAGGGGCAGCAUGGUCUUAGCUUGCUAAGGCCGAUGGCGACCGGCGCACGGGUGAGUAACGCGUAUCCAACCUGCCUUACACUCUUGGACAGCCUUCUGAAAGGGAGAUUAAUACAAGAUGUUAUCAUGAGUAAGCAUUUUCGCAUGAUUAAAGGUUUACCGGUGUAAGAUGGGGAUGCGUUCCAUUAGAUAGUAGGCGGGGUAACGGCCCACCUAGUCUUCGAUGGAUAGGGGUUCUGAGAGGAAGGUCCCCCACAUUGGAACUGAGACACGGUCCAAAACUCCUACGGGAGGCAGCAGUGAGGAAUAUUGGUCAAUGGACGAGAGUCUGAACCAGCCAAGUAGCGUGAAGGAUGACUGCCCUAUGGGUUNUAAACGUUCUUUUAUACGGGAAUAAAGUGAGGCAUGUGUGCCUUUUUGUAUGUACCGUAUGAAUAGGAUCGGCUAACUCCGUG
rnacentral:rRNA from 1 species